rnacentral:lncRNA from 1 species
AAUUUGAUCGUUGAGGCUGCUUCACUGCCUAUGCUAUGGAGUGUGGACGACGUCGGUGUAGGAGGUAUCAGGAGCUCUUGCAUGACAUAUCUGAUAGGUCGCGGUACGUUUGUCGAAACAAACCUGGUUCGCUAGUGUAGUUGCCGUCAAGGCAGGAGCCGAUAAAGUUGCUCUAUCAGAGGAAGUAUUGCUUGCGUGCGAGUUUGUCGUAUGAAGCGUGUCUUGAGGAUGUGGAAUGGCGCAGUUCGAGCCACUGCCUCGACGCAUUACAACUUGUGUGCAUGUUCAAGAGUUCCGGUGUGCUCGCGCGUGUGCGUCCAACACGAACCCGAGCUCGCCGUCGUGACUUUCUCUAGCCACCUCUAACAAUCUUAGCUUGUGUGUUUCAGUGUCUUCUUUUUCCAAUUUUUUUUUCUUUUUGUAUCAUCGGAAGUUCC